rnacentral:rRNA from 1 species
UACGUAGGGGGCUAGCGUUGUCCGGAAUCAUUGGGCGUAAAGAGCGUGUAGGCGGUCCGGUAAGUCCGCUGUGAAAGUCGGGGGCUCAACCCUCGAAUGCCGGUGGAUACUGUCGGGCUAGAGUGCGGAAGAGGCGAGUGGAAUUCCUGGUGUAGCGGUGAAAUGCGCAGAUAUCAGGAAGAACACCCGUGGCGAAGGCGGCUCUCUGGAACGCAACUGACGCUGAGACGCGAAAGCGUGGGGAGCAAACAGG